rnacentral:rRNA from 1 species
GUGGGGAAUUUUGGACAAUGGGCGCAAGCCUGAUCCAGCCAUGCCGCGUGCGGGAAGAAGGCCUUCGGGUUGUAAACCGCUUUUGUCAGGGAAGAAAUCCUCUGGGCUAAUAACCUGGAGGGAUGACGGUACCUGAAGAAUAAGCACCGGCUAACUACGUGCCAGCAGCCGCGGUAAUACGUAGGGUGCAAGCGUUAAUCGGAAUUACUGGGCGUAAAGCGUGCGCAGGCGGUUCUAUAAGACAGAUGUGAAAUCCCCGGGCUCAACCUGGGAACUGCAUUUGUGACUGUAGAGCUGGAGUGCGGCAGAGGGGGAUGGAAUUCCGCGUGUAGCAGUGAAAUGCGUAGAUAUGCGGAGGAACACCGAUGGCGAAGGCAAUCCCCUGGGCCUGCACUGACGCUCAUGCACGAAAGCGUGGGGAGCAAACAGG